UGCUGAGCUUGAUGUUUGUGAAUAAGCCCAUUGUGUCCACCCACCUAAAACUCCACACGAGAUGGAGGCCUAAGCAGGAGACAGAUAGCCAAAGAAUGAGGAGGAGGUGUGAGCAACGAUGUUUCAGAUGUAUUUUUUAGUUCUGUGGUUGUGUCUGUCUUUCUUACAUACUUGUCCUUUUUUUAAAGUUCUUUUUUGUGUGUGUGUGGGAAGAGCAGAAAACCAUCCAACUUCCUGGAUUAAAAGAAAUAUAAAAAUACCACCACCACUUUUAAUAUAACUGCAUUUACCAUUAUCCGUGUCCCUGUAAUAUACCCCCAAAUGAGGAAAUUUAAAGGAAAAGGGAAAAUGGUUGGAGUUUUGUUGUUGCUGUUGUUGUGUUCCUUUGAUUGGUUUCCUUCCAGCUUAAGCAUUCUGGUUUCCUGGUUAUGUGUUCGUUUCUUUGGAAACGGCUGUAGGAUGGAUUUUUGAUUGACUGUGUUGUCAGAUGGAUUAUCAGAGUUGCGAGCUUUUUGGAAUGGUAGACAUGAAUGUGUGAUAAGAAAAAAUAUUUUGUACUUCGUUUUAAAUGUUGCAUCAUGAAAGAAGCUAGAUUGAAUAUUUAACAGGUUACAUAGGGAAAAAGUUUAUUAAAAAAAUAGAAGUCAACUGAUUUGGUUACUACGAAAAAAUUUCUGUUAAUAUGAGGAAAGGUUUUACUAAUGUGACUGAUGGGAAUAUUAAUACCUAAGCAAUGUAGAAUAGUUUCUGCAGAGCUGCAAUGCUUAUUCUAAGCAGUAAUUCUAAUGUGUAGCUUGUCUAGAUUACAAGCAGAAAGCAGCUUGUACCCUGACCUAUACACACACUUAUUUGUUACAGCACUUACGUGCCCAGAUUUCUGCAUGAUUCCCAUCUAGUGUUUCUGAGUUUGCUUCCUGUCUUAGUCAGGGCUCUGCAAGGCCAGCUGUCCUCAAGGCUGCAAGCGGUUGGUGCGGCUCUGCUCGUGCUGGGGAUGCUGAGGCUGGGGCAGAUUGCUGGCAGGAGGCCGAGGGUGAUGUCAGUGCCCACCUUGCUGGGAGAGUUAAUCUCCUGCUGCAGAGAGACUCUAAUAAUCUCCUCACUGGGGAGACUCGUGUGUUAAGAUCGCAUGUUGUACAUUCCUCUUCUAGGGCUGUAAAGCAAUUGGCAAAGUUAGUGUUUCUAAAGCUCUAUUGACAGACGUGCUUGUCAGAGGUUGUUUCUUUUUGGGGUGGAGGUGCAUAGGCGCGGGAAAGAAAAUUAACUUUUUAAAGGUUGCACAUAUGAAACAAUAACAAAACCAGGUUAGUAAGGUCCAAUAUAUGAAGUGAGCAGGUAUUUAAUGAUGCUGUAAGAGACACUAUCUCCUUUCCGGACAUAAACAAA
rnacentral:lncRNA from 1 species